UGCGUAGGCGGUAAAUCAAGUUGGCAGCGUAAUUCCGAGGCUUAACCUUGGGACUACUGCCAAAACUGGUGAACUAGAGUGUGUCAGGGGUAAGUGGAAUUCCUAGUGUAGCGGUGGAAUGCGUAGAUAUUAGGAGGAACACCGGAGGCGAAAGCGACUUACUGGGGCAUAACUGACGCUGAGGCACGAAAGCGUGGGGAGCAAACAA
rnacentral:rRNA from 1 species